GGGUGGGUGCGUGCGGCCGGCGCGUUCGGCAUCGGGCGGGCUCCUUGCUCCCUCUUCCCUGCCUCCUGCAGCCGCGGCGCGGGCUCAGCCAAUGGCAGCCCCGCGCUCGGGACCUGAGCUGUUUACCCAAGCUCAGCCCUCCCCCUCCUCCUCCUGCGAAGAUCCUUGGAGCAGCCAAGCCUGGAAGAGCGAGCGAGGGCGGAGAGAGGAGCGAGGGAAAGAGGCACGAGCGCAGAGGGAGGGGAGGCAGCGCUGUGGCAGGAGAGGUGUGGCCGGUUAGAGCAUCUUGGCCGGAGGGCUUGGACCGGAGCAUCUCCUGCCUCUCUCCGGGGCGGGCAAGGCGCGCUCAGCGCGGACCAUGCCCCUCCGCCGGCGCAGGCUGGGCCACGCUGGACAUUCAGCGUAACUGGAGCUCCCCCACCCCACCCCCUCCUCCGACACCUUCGUCCGCUUCCCUCCUCCUCACUGCGGCGGCUGCUGCCUCCUCCGCGGGGACCUGCUAGAGUGAUGGGCUGCAUAGGAUCCAGGACUGUAGGGAAUGAGGUGAUUGCAGUGGACUGGAAGGGACUGAAAGAUGUGGACCAGAUCAAUAUGGACAGCACCAGCUCAUUGCAUGGCAGUAGCAUCCACCGACCCUCCACUGAGCAAACCCGGACAGAUUUCUCCUGGGAUGGUAUUAAUCUCUCCAUGGAAGACACAACCUCCAUUCUCCCCAAGCUGAAGCGGAACUCCAAUGCUUAUGGAAUCGGGGCUCUGGCUAAGUCGUCUUUCUCUGGCCCCUUAGGGAUAUCCCGCAGCAUGAAGGAUCACGUCACGAAGCCAACGGCUAUGGGACAGGGUCGUGUAGCUCACAUGAUCGAGUGGCAAGGGUGGGACAAAGGUAACAGCCAGCAACAGCUGCAUACACAUGAGGCGGUGCGCAAGGAUGCUGAUGCCUACUCAGACCUGAGCGAUGGCGAGAAGGAGGCCCGAUUCCUUGCAGGGGUGAUGGAGCAGUUUGCCAUCUCUGAGGCCACUCUCAUGGCCUGGUCCUCCAUGGAUGGUGAGGAUGUGAGUGUCAACUCCAACCAGGAGAACCCAGCAAGUAACUACAGUGAGAACUACCAGGAGCUGAUGGAGAACCAGGAUCACAUGGCCCAGGCACAGUAUGACAGCUGGCCUCAUUCCUAUGUCUCUCAGGGCAUGUAUUGCCUAGGCUCCUCUGAUGCUUGGGAGACCAGCGACCAGUCCCUCAUUGCUUCCCCAGCUACUGGUUCCUACCUAGGCCAGAACUUUGAGGAGACCCAGUCCAACCUGCAGGAGAGCACAUUGAUUCAGAGUAGCCUCAUCCAGCAGCAUCAGAUGCAGCAGCAGCAACCACAGGCCCUGCUCCAGAACCCAGGGCUUAUUGACAUGUGGCCCCCUCAGACUGCCUCAGUGGGUGGUGGUGGGGCCGAAUCCAGCACAUACAUGGGGGUGCAUACAGAGGAGGAAGGGAACCCACUACUGGAGAAGGCCCCGCUGCUAAACAAGAAGGCCUCUCCAGAGGAGGACGAUGCUGUAUGCCGAGAUCUGGAGUCACUGUCACCUCGGGAGGAGCUGGACCAUGCCGCACUCAGCCGCAAGGUCUCGGAUGUCACCUCAUCCGGGGUGCAGUCCUUUGAUGAGGAGGAGGGGGAAGCAAACAAUUGAUGCUGCCAGUGAGGAAUCCGUCAGCACUACCAAAUGGGAGAGGGGAAGGGAGAAUGAAAUGACAGGAAAAGCUCUCCCAGGUUCCCAGGCGGACACACGUGUCACUCUGACUUUUCAUUUUUAACAAAAGGGAAGUAAAGGACUGGAGGUGUUUGACAAGGUCGGAGCCCUCCUUGCCCACCAUCAUGGACUGAUCCCAUGGCCCCCUGUUCUGGACAGCAUGCUGGGGGCUCAGGGAACUCUUGACUUUAAAUCUUUUUGAUACAAAGGUUUGGCUCUGGAUUCAGACUGCUCAGAUGCUGGGAUGUGGCUCCCAAGAUACAAACAAUGGCUUGAGACAGGGAUAUGGCUGUAUGGAUAGGAUCUAUCUUGGUAGAAUGGAUGUUGUUUUGGGGCUACAAUCUGCUUUGAUCCAUGGGAUAUGUGAAUACAGAGUUUGUUUUGAACAGGGCACAAGGCUGUGCAGAUAUAGGUUGCACUGAUAGAGGGAUUAUGACUGAUAUACAGGAUAAGGCUGUAUGGAUAUAGCCACUGAACUAAUAGGAUGGAUGAGCUAUAUGGAUAAAUACUGUACAGUUCUUUGACAUGAGAACCAAGGCUCUGUGGAUACGGACUGUACUGUGGUAUGGAUGGUGAGGCUUUGUGGACAAGAGCUGUGCUGUGAUAUGGAUGGUGUGACUCUGUGGACACAGGCUGUGGUCUGGUAUGGAUAGUGUGACUCUGUGGAUACGGGCUGUGCUCUGGUAUGGAUGGUGUGACUCUGUGGACACAGGCUGUGCUCUGGUAUGGAUGGUGUGGCUCUGUGGACACGGGCUGUGCUCUGGUAUGGAUGGUGUGGCUCUGUAGACACGGGCUGUGCUCUGUGAUGGAUGGUGUGGCUCUGUGGACAAGGAAUGUGCUCAGGUAUGGAUGGUGUGGCUCUGUGGACACGAGCUGUGCUCUGGUAUGGAUGGUGUGACUGUGGACAAGGGCUGUGCUCAGGUAUGGAUGGUGUGGCUCUGUGGACAAGGGCUGUGCUCAGGUAUGGAUGGUGUGGCUCUGUGGACAUGGGCUGUGCUGUGGUAUGGAUGGUGUGACUCUGUGGAAACGGGCUGUGCUGUGAUAUGGAUGGUGUGACUCUGUGGACACAGGCUGUGCUCUGGUAUGGAUGGUGUGGCUCUGUGGACACGGGCUGUGCUGUGGUACAGAUGGUGAGGCUCUGUGGAUACAGACCUAAACCCAUACGGCAACAGCUGUGCUUCAGUCUCUUUGAAACAUUUUUCUUUUGCUCCCUCUGACAUGUCUGUCUGCCUGGGAGCUGCGAGGGGAGAGGAGGGAAGAUAUUUCCACAUGGUGUUAGGCACUACAUGCAUGGGGAGGGGUCACCUGCUAUUUUCUACUAUAUAGACACGGUAACAUAAAGCUGACUUUCCCAGAGGAUUUGGGAGUUUGUCCACCUCUGUGCUGCUGCCUGAAUCUUUCCCUCUUUUCCUCUUCAGGGAAGCCAGGAACAGCAGGAACAAACGGUAUCUUCAUUUUCCAGUUUAUAUUGGAGUUUUGUUGCUGUUUCUUUUUCUACAGUUUUAUAUUGC